CUGGGUUCAACUUCUUUUAGGGUUUCUUUCUCCGAUGGAAAAAAGAUCCAGAUGAAGAUGGAGCGGUGGAGAUACCGUCGACUUAGAUCUACCUUACCACCAUCGAGCCAGAUCUGAGGUUACACGACUAAGGAAUAUGAUAACCAUAACUUUGCAGAUCUGAGUUCUUAGAGGAAUAUUGACAGCCCGGAUCUGGUAU